rnacentral:rRNA from 1 species
GAUGAACGCUAGCGACAGGCCUAACACAUGCAAUUCGAGGGGCAGCAUAAAGGUAGCAAUACUUUGGUGGCGACCGGCGCACGGGUGAGUAACACGUAUGCAACCUACCUGUAAGUGGGGAAUAACCCGGAGAAAUUCGGACUAACACCGCAUAAUACUGAUUAUCUGCAUGGAUUUAUCAGUUAAAUAUUUAUAGCUUACAGAUGGGCAUGCGUAUGAUUAGCUAGUUGGUAGGGUAACGGCCUACCAAGGCAACGAUCAUUAGGGGUUCUGAGAGGAAGGUCCCCCACAUUGGAACUGAGACACGGUCCAAACUCCUACGGGAGGCAGCAGUGAGGAAUAUUGGUCAAUGGACGAGAGUCUGAACCAGCCAAGUCGCGUGAAGGAAGAAGGUUCUAUGGAUUGUAAACUUCUUUUGUAAGGGAAUAAAAAAGGCCACGUGUGGCUUCUUGUAUGUACUUUACGAAUAAGGAUCGGCUAACUCCGUGCCAGCAGCCGCGGUAAUACGGAGGAUCCGAGCGUUAUCCGGAUUUAUUGGGUUUAAAGGGUGCGUAGGCGGACCUGUAAGUCAGUGGUGAAAGUUUGCAGCUCAACUGUAAAAUUGCCAUUGAAACUAUUGGUCUUGAGUGUAAAUGAGGUAGGCGGAAUGUGUUGUGUAGCGGUGAAAUGCUUAGAUAUAACACAGAACACCAAUUGCGAAGGCAGCUUACUAGGAUACAACUGACGCUGAGGCACGAAAGCGUGGGGAUCAAACAGGAUUAGAUACCCUGGUAGUCCACGCAGUAAACGAUGAAUACUAGCUGUAUGCGAUAUACUGUAUGUGGCAAAGCGAAAGCGUUAAGUAUUCCACCUGGGGAGUACGUUCGCAAGAAUG